CAAAGAAGGAAAAGUGCCGAUACGGCGGACGUUUUCUAUAUUUGCAUUGCGUUUUGCAUUGUUAUGACGCGUCUCUUCUUAGGGACAUGUUGGAUAAAUAACUGGAUUAUCACUCUUCUUAUGCGUUGAUUUGUUCGAACUUUUUAGUCGAACUACAGGAAAAUUCUGGUGGUUAUUGAAAGUUUGUUCUUAGACGAUGAUGUGGAGAGCGAUGGAAAAUGAAUUCAUUCAAGGAGCGAUGGCAGAUGGUCAUCCUCUUUUACAGGUCAGUAAUUAGGAUAUAUAUUUUUUAUCCUAUACAUUUCUUUGUAAUCGUUUCUCCGCCAUCUUUAAAGGCUUGGUGAGGUGAAAUAUGAUCGAUGUCUCCGAUUUCUGGAAAUGUUAUGUUUUAUCCCUACAAGCCUGUUUUGUGAUUGCUCACUUAUCAGGUGGGGGACUUUAUUGAAAAGAAUAUUCGUUACCAUGAUUUAUAUACUUUACAAAUUUGCACAAGAGGCGUGGUGGUGAAUUUAAGUACUUUGUUAAGUUAUUGCGCAGUGAUGCUUUCUUUCUGUGGCGGCAUGAGGUCAUAAGUUAAUUAUGUUUAUUGAGUGAUGAUAAUUCAGUUCCGCAGAUGAUGCGUAGUUUUUCUUUUAGGCAGAAGUUGCAUCUUUCACUUGUGUUGGUGUAGGUUGAUCUAGAUGAAAGGAUGUACUACGAAAUUAAGUGGUCAACGUUACUUUUUUUGAGAGACCAGAUGUGUUUGCUGAGNUCGGUAGAGUUUCUGUGUUUUAUGUGUCGGAAAGAUGCGGUGUGGUUUCUGUAUCUAGUUUUAAAGUCGUUAUCUGUGAGUCCAAUGUAUGUUUCAGUAGUGUUGUUGUCCUUGCAUGUGACGGUGGCUUGGUAGAUAACUGAUGUUUGGAGGUAGUUUCUGUUAAGUAGGCAAUUGUUCUCUUGUCGGUAGUUGCAAAUUUUUUUUUGUCUUUUGUAUUGGUGCCAUCUGCGAUUUCGUCAAUGUGUUGGGGGGAAUUUAAAAUGUGUUUGUUGUGAUUGUCGAUGAUCUGUUUGGUGUUGUUCAUGCAGCUGUAACUGAUCGUGAUUGUAUUUUGGUUAAAGAUUUCGACCAAGCCACCCCUACAUACCAAAAAGCACUUGACGAAUGCAGAUGCCGGUACACCCUACACUAUAAACACCCACGACCAACAAACGAACAAACAGACAACGGAACAACAUACUCGGGUACAACCACCCCCCAUUCAGCAAAAACGUCCGCACCAAUAUCGGACACAAAUUCUUUACCCUAGUAGUUCCCUAAAGACCACAAUCUCAGAAAAAUCUUUAACCGAAAUACAAUACAAAAACGUAGUCGUCGUAUUUUUCUACCCAACACAUAUUGCACUCUACUUUUAUACUGCACUGCACUAAAAUCAUGCCAUAUGCUAAUUUGUACUGGGUUUGACCAUUUCCCGAACUUCUCUUUAGCUUUUUUUUUCAUUAAUUGAAAGUGAAAUUUUGGAACAAGCGAGCUGGCGAGUAGCAACAGAAGAACCAAACAAAGGUUUGUAAACAUGCCAAGCGCCAAAAUUGAUGGUUUUAUAACGUUAGCAGAGAUGAAAAUCCUCAAAGAGAAAACGAAAUGGACAGUGUUAGUUUUGAAGGUUUUCACUCUCAGUUAGAUUGUAAGCUUAUCUAAGUAAGGUAAUAAAAAUAAAUCACUGCUAACACUCUUAAUAGUAUAUAUAACUUUGUGUUCAAAAAGAAAACAGAAUAAAACAGGAAUGAUGAAAAAUAUAGCCAAACUGGCAUAACUGUUAUCAUUGAUUUCAUACAAAUCAUGAUAGUGUUAGAGUGACUGUGAUUAUGCUGAAGUCCAUUGCACCUAGCUUGUCAUGGGAAUUUGAACUCAUUGCAGUGAAGCAAGCCGCAGAAAUUGCAUCAGCGGCCCUUCGAGGAAGUUUGCUCUAAUAUUAGGAAGCUUAAGCAACCACCACGACGAAUGGAGGACGACGACCGGAAGUAACGUGAACGUCACUGCGCAAGCGCAAACCAACAAUUCCGUCGUCGUCGUCGUGUCGUCGACGACUUCAGAAAGACCUGUUUCACGUCGUCGUGAUCUUCCGAACUUGAAAGCAGUUUUUCUCAUCUAAAGGUGCGUGUUUAUUGUCGUUUUUUUUUAACAGUCUAUGGCCGGUUGGAGUUUGUAUUUGCUUAUUCGGUUGAUUUAAACCUCCCUGUUGAGUUUUCUAAACAACCAUAAAAUUCUAAAACCAGCUAACUCAUUUUCCUUCCUCCGCACAACAGAUGUCAAGUCAAGCGGUGAGAGCGACCACCAAUCCGAACUUUGUUUGAAAUAAUGAUCACGACAUAGCUAUGUGCCGGGAAGUCCUCGUAGAAGAACCGUACCGUUUUAAAAUGAGAAGUACCGAAAGAGGCCAAGCAUGGGAAUCAAUAGCAGAGAAUUUAAACGCAAUGCCAGCCCUAAAGUUCAGAGUUACAGCGCGGUCUGUG
rnacentral:lncRNA from 1 species